rnacentral:rRNA from 1 species
UACGUAGGGCGCAAGCGUUGUCCGGAAUUAUUGGGCGUAAAGAGCUCGUAGGCGGUUUGUCGCGUCUGCUGUGAAAACCUAAGGCUCAACCUUGGGCUUGCGGUCGAUACGGGCAGGCUGGAGUUCGGUAGGGGAGACUGGAAUUCCUGGUGUAGCGGUGAAAUGCGCAGAGAUGUGGAGGAACACCGAUGGCGAAGGCGGUUCUCUGGGACGGUACUGACGCUGAGACGCGAAAGCGUGGGGAGCGAACAGG